AUACAAAUUCAUAAAAAACAACUCAUGUUUUCUUUUUGGAUUGUCGUUCACAAACUUUGGUCGGUGGGUGAGCGACUUCUUUUUAUUUGUUU
rnacentral:antisense_RNA from 5 species